ACACCCACAGAGGCCAAUCAGCAAUCGGAAUGCUGAUUCCUGCUCUGAUGAGCGUGCUCGCUGACCAAUUAUAAACAAUCUUUUUACCGUCACAUUUUCUCUGGCCGUGAGAGAAGCUGUGGAGUGAGACUCUGUGCGCCCGCAUCGUGUACGUGCUGCGGGUGCGCCGCUGUGCAUUGGUCCGUAGUAUGGGGAAUAGGUUGGUGCGGGGUCUCAUACAGCAAUGAGGCGUUGUGUUUGGAUGUAAAAUACAUUAAGGCUUUGCAAGCGUACGAUUGCCAGGACAGGCUCUUACCUGAGUUCGUGUCCGGUAACUUCACAUUGAGCUCAACAAAGGCUACUGGAGAGGCAUGAUCUCCUACAACUACAGGAGUAGUCUGCAACAACAUGGGAGUUAUGACUGACUGCAAGCUGCUUUUGGGGAGGAAACACUGUCCGUGAAAUACUGUGUUUGAUUUGCAGAAUUUUGUUUGUUUCUUUGUCCUGCUGCAGAAUACAUUUUGAGUCAAUCAGAUGCGUCCCUGAUUGUAUUGCAUUAUGGAUAAGUACUUGCAUAUAUAUCUCAGCAUUAAAGCACAACGAAAUGGGCAAUGUUGAGGACCAUAGGCACAGUGGUCAGUGUUUGCCGAAGGGUGGCGAGUAGUACAAUAAUAAGUGUCUGCAGGCAGUAGUGAAGCAUGGUGGAAGUUCCUAGCAAGUUUGGGGCUGCAUUUCAGCAAAUGGAGGUGGGGAUUUGGCCUGGAUUAAUGGUGUCCUCAAUGCUGCGAAAUACAGGCACGUAUGUUUAUCCAUCAUGUAAUACCAUCUGUUUGGCAGAAGGACAAUGACCACAAACAUACAGCCAAUGUCGUUUAAAAACUAUCUUCAGUAUAAAGAAGAACAAGGAGUCCUGGAAGUGAUGAUAUAGUCCCCACAGAAUCCUGAUCUCAACAUCAUCGAGUCUGUCUGGAAUUACAUGAAGAGACAGAAGGAUUUGAGCAAGCCUACAUCCACAGAAGAUCUGUGGUUAGUUCUCCAAGAUGUUUGGAGCAACCUCCCUGCCGAGUUCCUUCAAAUACUGUGUACAAGUGUACCUAGGAGAAUUGAUGCUGUUUGGAAGCCAAAGGGUGGUCACACCAAAUAUUGAUUUGAUUUAGAUUUCUCUUCUGUUUUGCACUUUUUCAUUGAUAAAAAUAAACUAUUAACACUUCUAUUUUGGAAA